rnacentral:rRNA from 1 species
UACGGAGGGUGCAAGCGUUGCUCGGAAUUAUUGGGCGUAAAGGGUAGGUAGGUGGUCUCAUUUGUCUGGGGUGAAAGCCUUGAGCUUAACUCAAGAAGUGCCCCAGAAACGGUGAGACUAGAGUCCUGGAGAGGGUCGUGGAAUUCCCGGUGUAGCGGUGAAAUGCGUAGAGAUCGGGAGGAACACCAGAGGCGAAGGCGGCGACCUGGACAGGUACUGACGCUGAGGCGCGAAAGCCAGGGGAGCGAACGGG